rnacentral:misc_RNA from 1 species
GCCAGGUGAGCCAAAGAGACAUAUCGAUAGACCUCGAGCGUAAAACGAAGAUUGAAAGUGCUCGCAAGCACGGGUGAAGAAGGAGAACAAAAAAAAAAAAAAACUUCAAACGCUGCGAGAGUUUGCUUUUCGGUUCGCGGUUGUUGUUGUUGUUGUUGUUCUUGUUGUUGUUAGCUUUUCUUUUUUUUUCUUGUUCCUUUUGUCCGCUCUCCAACUUUCCUCAUCCUCAAUAGAGUGACGUGUGAAGUUCUCUCACGUGUUCAGACGGUGGUGGCUCUGUUAGUAGCGGAACGGAGCUUCUUCGUCGUCGUUGUGCCAAAUUACAAAGGCUGCAAGCUAUGGAAUGACGUGAUUGUGCGGUUGGCUGCAUACCGAAAGCUCCUCACUCACGGCCACGGAAGAAAACAGCGCUGGCACAAAGAGACGCCUCCAUGCUUCGUGACGGAUGGCUGUUACGAGAAUCGAAAGUGAUCAAAGCAAGGGAUGUUGUAAAGGAAGAGGCCGCCGCAGUACAGGUAAGGAAAAUUCAAUCCCGAAGGGUGACGUGGUGCCUUGAAGCAAUGGAAGGGUGAGCCGGUAAUUAUGGAAAAGGGUCCGAGGUUUUGUCGCCGAGUGAAUGUAAUGCAAGAUCAACAAACGUAAGACGGUUGGUUUCAAGACGAAACUGUUUAUACGAGCGAAGCGGGGGAUUUUCAGAGAUGCCAGAUGUCGGACCGUGGCGUCAAACACCCGAUGCAAGAGCCUAAAGACGUCCCGAGGUCGCCUAGCGUGCUUCGAUGUACCAAGUUUUUGCGCUAUUUUCAAGGCGUCGUCGCGUUCCUCCGAGGCCUUAUCCAUCCUAGUGCGUUUUAAGAGCGACAAGAAAUUUAAUUUCUUCAACAUGUGUGCGCUGGGCGAGUGAUUGAGUUGAUAAAGUGCCUGGCGAUCCCUCCCACGAUUCGGAGAGUGAGAAAUACUUUACGAUUUCAGGCUCUCUUUGCCACUCCUGUAAUUAUUUGCUUCUAUUCAUUUUUAUACCCUCGAGCACGAUUUUAGCCAGUCGAAGAACGGACCCCAUUUUCACGAGGUGUGCAAAAUUGACACGAAAUCCGAACGAGGAAUCGAGAAGGCGUCGACAACGAUGAUUUUGUGUAAUCGAUCGACUUCCACAGAGAAUCCAACGUUGGAAUAUAUAAAGUAAAAUCUUCGCUUGGUUAGAAAGUUCGAGUGCGAGGAAAAUCGUUCGAAUGCAAUAAUUCCAAUGGGAUAUGAUAACUAACAUUGGUUUCGUUGACUGGUUCUCAACGAUGACUCAAAGGAAUAAUAACGAUUCGUUCUAGCUGCCGGUAUUUGUUGCCUUGUUCACCGGUGCUCAAUAAGCUUUGGCCCAAUAAUUAAUGGAACGCAGAGAGGCGUCGACGACAA